rnacentral:rRNA from 1 species
CCUACGGGAGGCAGCAGUGGGGGAUAUUGCACAAUGGGGGGAACCCUGCUGCAGCGACGCCGCGUGGGUGAAGAAGCGCCUCGGCGCGUACAGCCCUGUCAGCAGGGAAGAAAAUGACGGUACCUGAAGCAGAAGCCCCGGCUAACUACGUGCCAGCAGCCGCGGUAAUACGUAGGGGGCAAGCGUUAUCCGGAUUUACUGGGUGUAAAGGGGGCGCAGACGGCGAUGCAAGCCAGGAGUGAAAGCCCGGGGCCCAACCCCGGGACUGAUCUUGGAACUGCGUGGCUGGAGUGCAGGAGGGGCAGGCGGAAUGCCUGGUGUAGCGGUGAAAUGCGUAGAUAGCAGGAGGAACACCGGUGGCGAAGGCGGCCUGCUGGACUGCAACUGACGUUGAGGCCCGAAAGCGUGGGGAGCAAACAGGAUUAGAUACCCUUGUAGUC